GACGAACGCUGGCGGCGUGCUUAACACAUGCAAGUCGAACGAUGAAGCCUAGCUUGCUAGGUGGAUUAGUGGCGAACGGGUGAGUAAUACGUGAGUAACCUACCUUUAACUCUUGGAUAAGCCUGGGAAACUGGGUCUAAUACCGGAUACGACCAAUCUCCGCAUGGGGUGUUGGUGGAAAGCGUUAUGUAGUGGUUAUAGAUGGGCUCACUGCCUAUCAGCUUGUUGGUGAGGUAACGGCUCACCAAGGCGACGACGGGUAGCCGGCCUGAGAGGGUGACCGGCCACACUGGGACUGAGACACGGACCAGACUCCUACGGGAGGCAGCAGUGGGGAAUAUUGCACAAUGGGAGCAAGCCUGAUGCAGAGACGCCGCGUGAGGGAUGACGGCCUUCGGGUUGUAAACCUCUGUUAGCAGGGAAGAAGAGAGAUUGACGGUACCUGAAGAGAAAGCGCCGGCUAACUACGUG
rnacentral:rRNA from 1 species